AACACUGGAAGAAGAAGGAAGUACCAUGAUGAUGUGACUGUAAUGGUGAUCAUGCUUGGGAUGAAUCAGAGGACUUCCAAGGCAUCAACUUGCAUCUAAGACUGCCCAAAUCAAAACUUGGCUUCUGAGUAGCUUUUUUUCAUGGACAUUCUUGGUCCAUUACAGCAUUAUAUAGGUUGAAGUUGUGAUUUGAAAUUGAAAGUGUAUAUAUGUCAUUUUAGAACAGUAGAAUUAAUUAUUAGUUGACCCUUUGAAAUGUGAAAAAUUUGAUAGUCUUACCGCUUUGUUUGAAUGCGUUUGUUUUUUUUGCCUUGGACUUCAGUGUUCAUUUACAUGCAUGUGUUCUCAAUUUCCCUUCCUAUAAAUUCAAGGUAAUCAACAUAUAAAAUACUAAGUUAUAUUUCAGAUUA